GAUGAUAGCAACAACUGCCCUUGCUUCAAAUGGUCAAAUUUGCCCCACAACUUCAGCUAACAAUACCACAGUAGUGCAGUCCAAUCAGCAGGUGUCAGCUGUCCUUUCUUUACCUCAGCCGGUGUCAGUUGCCAGUAAGCCAAAGAAUACUGCAACCCCAC